AUUGAACGCUGGCGGCAGGCCUAACACAUGCAAGUCGAACGAGUGGCGGACGGGUGAGUAAUGUCUGGGAAACUGCCUGAUGGAGGGGGAUAACUACUGGAAACGGUAGCUAAUACCGCAUACCAUCGGAUGUGCCCAGAUGGGAUUAGCUAGUAGGUGGGGUAAAGGCUCACCUAGGCGACGAUCCCUAGCUGGUCUGAGAGGAUGACCAGCAACACGGGAAUUGAGACACGGUCAAGACUCCUAAGGGAGGAAGCAGUGGGAAAUAUUGCACAAUGGGCGAAAGCCUGAUGAAGCCAUGCGGCGUGGAUGAAGAAGGCCUUCGGGUUGUAAAGUACUUUCAGCGGGGAGGCGUUACCCGCAGAAGAAGCACCGGCUAACUACGUGCCAGCAGCCGCGGUAAUAC
rnacentral:rRNA from 1 species